AGAGUUUGAUCCUGGCUCAGAAUCAACGCUGGCGGCGUGCCUAACACAUGCAAGUCGAACGAGAAAGUGGAGCAAUCCAUGAGUAAAGUGGCGCACGGGUGAGUAACACGUGACUAACCUACCCUUGAGUGGGGAAUAACUUCGGGAAACCGAGGCUAAUACCGCAUAACACCUACGGGUCAAAGGAGCAAUUCGCUUAAGGAGGGGGUCGCGGCAGAUUAGUUAGUUGGCGGGGUAAUGGCCCACCAAGACGGUGAUCUGUAUCCGGCCUGAGAGGGCGCACGGACACACUGGAACUGAAACACGGUCCAGACUCCUACGGGAGGCAGCAGUGGGGAAUUUUGCGCAAUGGGGGAAACCCUGACGCAGCAACGCCGCGUGGAGGAUGAAGUCCCUUGGGACGUAAACUCCUUUCGAUCGGGACGAUUAUGACGGUACCGGAAGAAGAAGCCCCGGCUAACUUCGUGCCAGCAGCCGCGGUAAUACGAGGGGGGCGAGCGUUGUUCGGAAUUAUUGGGCGUAAAGGGCGCGUAGGCGGUCGGAUAAGUCUUGUGUGAAAUCUUCGGGCUCAACUCGAAGUCUGCACAGGAAACUAUCUGGCUUGAGUGUGGGAGAGGUGAGUGGAAUUCCUGGUGUAGCGGUGAAAUGCGUAGAUAUCAGGAGGAACACCUGUGGCGAAAGCGGCUCACUGGACCACAACUGACGCUGAGGCGCGAAAGCUAGGGGAGCAAACAGGAUUAGAUACCCUGGUAGUCCUAGCCCUAAACGAUGAUUGCUUGGUGUGACGGGUACCCAAUCCC
rnacentral:rRNA from 1 species